rnacentral:rRNA from 1 species
UACGUAGGGCGCAAGCGUUGUCCGGAAUUAUUGGGCGUAAAGAGCUCGUAGGUGGUUUGUCGCGUCUGCCGUGAAAGCCCGGGGCUUAACUCCGGGUCUGCGGUGGAUACGGGCAGACUAGAGGCAGGUAGGGGAGAACGGAAUUCCCGGUGUAGCGGUGAAAUGCGCAGAUAUCAAGCGGAACACCGGUGGCGAAGGCGGCCUUCUGGACGAUGACUGACGCUGAGACGCGAAAGCGUGGGGAGCAAACAGG